AUGUCCUGACUGGCUCUCCCUGCCAUCGCCCAUUCUGGUUCCUGUCAAGCCCCUAUCCCCUGGUGAAGAUUAAACUCAGUAGUGGAUACUGCUUCAUGUCAGACUACACCCCACAGCAACACAGGACAAACUGGAAGGCCGCAGAGGGCAACAGGCUUUGCUGGGAAUGGCUGGGUAGUUGACUGAAUAGAGGCUGCAGAUGUGCAACCCAGGACAGAGAAAGGGCUGAGUGUGACCACUGAGCGGCUACAAUAUGUCAACAGUGCUGAAACUGUGAAAAGCCCGUAUCUGCAGCCGAGUGGAAAAACACCACCCACGAAUAAGUAAGUCAAACACAAGAAUGUCUGAGGGAAAUGAGAGUACCCAGCACUCCUUCCCAGGAGGCACUGUUCAGAACAAGACUCCUAAGAAGGGAACUACUGGAGCUGCCUUCUGGAACCAUCCACAGCUGUACUGAGUAUACUCCUCAGUCUACAAACAGGUCCUCGACAUCUUAGUGUAGGGAUUUUCUUUUUACUGUUCUUCGCUGCUAUUUAUCUAUAGUCACAGACACAUGUCCUUCAGCAGACCUCAGUGGAAAGAUACUGUGAAAAUAAAUGCCUCAUUGCUUCAUAAUUGCCAACUGCAGAAACGCAAACUAGAGCUUCCCAAUAGCUGGGAGAUGAACAUGGCUUUCUUCUGUGGUUUAUUUCUUCAUGUAAACAUGUAUACGCUAUUAAUUUUCUUUUCAAAACAGGAUAGGGUAAAGUUUAGCUGUCUCUCUGUAUAAACAUAUCAGAAAAACUGAA